rnacentral:misc_RNA from 1 species
ACAAACUUGGUCAUUUAGAGGAAGUAAAAGUCGUAACAAGGUCAUCGUAGGUGAACCUGCGGUGGGAUCAUUAAAGGAUUCUCUUAUGUAUGCCCUUCCUUUAUAGGAAGGGUGUAUGUGUGUGGUUCCUAUGGGUUAAUAACUUGGUAGUGGGUAGUAGUUUAGCGCCUAUGGCGUUAGUGCUACUACUCCUACCAAAAAAGAGCUUGGCAUGCUCUCUGCUUCGGUAGAGAGCGGCCCUGCUCUUGUCCAUCAUCAACUCUUAUGAAACUUCUUUCAUAACCAAAAUCUUACCAAUGUGCUAGUUUGCAUAAUAAUCUUAUACAACUACCAAUGGCGGAUCACUUGGCUCUUGCAUCGAUGAAGAACGCAGC